GAGUUUGAUCAUGGCUCAGAUUGAACGCUGGCGGCAGGCCUAACACAUGCAAGUCGAGCGGAUGACGGGAGCUUGCUCCUUGAUUCAGCGGCGGAUGGGUGAGUAAUGCCUGGGAAUCUGCCUGGUAGUGGGGGACAACGUUUCGAAAGGAACGCUAAUACCGCAUACGUCCUACGGGAGAAAGCAGGGGACCUUCGGGCCUUGCGCUAUCAGAUGAGCCUAGGUCGGAUUAGCUAGUUGGUGGGGUAAUGGCUCACCAAGGCGACGAUCCGUAACUGGUCUGAGAGGAUGAUCAGUCACACUGGAACUGAGACACGGUCCAGACUCCUACGGGAGGCAGCAGUGGGGAAUAUUGGACAAUGGGCGAAAGCCUGAUCCAGCCAUGCCGCGUGUGUGAAGAAGGUCUUCGGAUUGUAAAGCACUUUAAGUUGGGAGGAAGGCAGUAAGUUAAUACCUUGCUGUUUUGACGUUUACCGAC
rnacentral:rRNA from 1 species